AUACGUAGGGGGCGAGCGUUAUCCGGAAUUAUUGGGCGUAAAGCGUACGUAGGUGGUUUCUUAAGCAUGGGGUUUAAGGCAAAGGCUUAACCAUUGUUCGCCCCAUGAACUGGGUAACUUGAGUACUGGAGGGGAAAGCGGAAUUCCUAGUGUAGCGGUGAAAUGCGUAGAUAUUAGGAGGAACACCAGUGGCGAAGGCGGCUUUCUGGACAGUAACUGACACUGAGGUACGAAAGUGUGGGGAGCAAACAGGAUUAGAUACCCUGGUAGUCCACACCGUAAACGAUGAGCACUAGGUGUCGGCCUAGCAAUAGGUCGGUGCCGAAGUUAACGCAUUAAGUGCUCCGCCUGGGGAGUACGUACGCAAGUAUGAA
rnacentral:rRNA from 1 species